AUGUGUGUAUAUCAUAUGGCUGCUGAUUCCGUACGACCCAAAUAUGAAACUUUCACCCAAGUUCACGACUCGCUUAAAAAACCAAGAUUUUGGCCUCACUUCAAGGAUGACAUUGGGGCCAUAGAUGGAACACACAUACCUUGCAUUGUGCCUGAAAAAGAGCAGCCCAAAUAUUGCAACAGAAAAGGUGUCACCACUCAGAAUAUCAUGGCAAUAUGUGAUUUUGAUAUGAGGUUCAUUUUUGUUGUUGUUGGAUGGCCUGGAUCUAUUCAUGACACCCGUGUAUGGGCUGAUGCACGAGCUGAAUAUCCCAGUUUCCCACACCCUCCGAAUGGUAAUGACUCGUACAUGCAUUUUUUACACUAG
rnacentral:rRNA from 1 species